GAUGAACGCUGGCGGCGUGCCUAAUACAUGCAAGUCGAGCGAACAGAUAAGGAGCUUGCUCCUUUGACGUUAGCGGCGGACGGGUGAGUAACACGUGGGUAACCUACCUAUAAGACUGGAAUAACUCCGGGAAACCGGGGCUAAUGCCGGAUAACAUUUAGAACCGCAUGGUUCUAAAGUGAAAGAUGGUUUUACUAUCACUUAUAGAUGGACCCGCGCCGUAUUAGAUAGUUGGUAAGGUAACGGCUUACCAAGGCAACGAUACGUAGCCGACCUGAGAGGGUGAUCGGCCACACUGGAACUGAGACACGGUCCAGACUCCUACAGGAGGCAGCAGUAGGGAAUCUUCCGCAAAGGGCGAAAGCCUGACGGAGCAACGCCGCGUGAGUGAUGAAGGUCUUCGGAUCGUAAAACUCUGUUAUUAGGGAAGAACAAAUGUGUAAGUAACUGUGCACGUCUUGACGGUACCUAAUCAGAAAGCCACGGCUAACUACGUG
rnacentral:rRNA from 1 species